CCUCGGUGAAGAUACGAUGACGAGUCGGACCAGGACUCGCGUGCAUCUGAGGAGGCUGCUACAGGGCCACGUUCUGUGGAUCUGUACCAGUUCCUCAGAGCAGCAAGUUCUUUCCAGCUGAAGAUGCUGAGGCAUUUGUCUGAGAGGG